AACAUUACGCAGUCAGCACAUAGUGCGCAGCAGAAGGAGAAGAGCAGGAAACUUUCCAGAACAAUAUGAAAACGUGUCUAAAUACUAUUUUUGUUGUCUGAAGAAAGUGCAAAGAAGUUAUUUUUGAUUUUCCACCGUGUUCCUGUUUUGGAGAUGUUUUAUUUUCUAGAACGGGACUUGGCCAAUUAGAUUGGGUUGAAGAACUAUCGCGAUAGAUCGACAUAAGAGAACAUGUGCAGGAGCACAUGUGCUUGAGAUAAAGAUGGCGAGCCACCCAUGGAACCUGUGAACUGCGCAUGCGCCAGGACCAGUUCAGGAGCAACAAGCCCUCUGCUGACCGGUGCAUGGUACUACAACUGAAUGUUUUAGGUUGCUUGAACCUGACAUUAAUUUGGUCCUUCGAGCCAGAUACCAAAACACCUGAGGAUUCCAGCUGAGGAAACGACAACCAGAAAGACCGUGGCCACGGCAAACAGACCCUUUCCGGGACUGGCUCUCGUCUCACUGGCUGGAGUCUGAUGGUUGACGGUAUACCUCGGAGAGGGAAGACAACUUGGUGAGUAAUAUUUCCUUAGGGGGGAUUAAAAGAGAAUGAGUGAAACGUGUUUAAGAAAAGACAAGCAGAGUCAAUAAAAGCCCGCUAGGCCUGCUUAGAGUGAAACCUUGUGAAUACUAGUCAAUGGCAAGUAAUUGAAGGACACCGAAUUCCGAUAAAUUCCGUGGUAAAGAUGGACACUGAAUUCCGAUAAAUUCCGUGGUAAAGAUGGACACCGGAUUCCCAUAAAUUUCAUGGUAAAGAGGGAUGCCGGAUUCCGACAAAUUCCGUGGUAAUAACAGGACGGCGGAGUCCUACGCGCAUUUAAAUUCCGUGUUGUGUGCUUGUGAGUGUGAGUGGAGACGAAGUUUCACUAGAAACUUAUCUCAUACCAAAGCGGUGAGAUUGUAAGUGGUGACUUGUUGUGGAAGCAGAGGCAAGAAUUCUCCGCCCCCACUGGGGUAGAAGCUUGAGAAUUACCACAAUAAGACCAUUUUUCACCACCUCACUGACAGAAAGAAAACCCCAGUUAUUAGAAUUCCCUAGGAAUUAACAUCAUAACUGGGACCAAAUUGAAUUAAAAUGGGAAAUGGAAAAAGUAAAACAAACUAUAAAGAUAACUUACAGAGUAAAGACUGGCGAUUCGUUGAAAAACAAGAUUCAACAAAGUUAAAAUACAUGGAUAAAUGGGUGUCUAAAUACGGGUAUGAUGGCCAAUUAAAUUCCCCAAAAAUAGUGUCGUUACAGGACUAGAUACUUUAGUGGAUGAAAAAUAAUGAUAAAAAGAAAAUAAUUAUAAAAAGAUGAAAAAAGAAGGAUAUGAAGAGACAGUUUUGGCUUAAUACAGCUCAAAAAAGAGAAGAAGGAGAAAAAGAAAAGAAAAACAAAAAAGAAACGUGUGUGUAAAAAGAAAAGAAAAAAGGAACAGCAAAGGUGGAAACAGAAGGUUGAGAAGUUAAAAAUAAGAGAGAAGGAACUGAGGAAGUGAAAGUUAAAGAUAGAGAAGAGGAUAAUAAGAUAGUAAAUGUUAAAAGGACUGAGUAAAGUAGGGAAGAAAGACAGCAAGGCAGACCCUCACUGGAUCCUCUCUUGCUGGUGUCUCCACCACGAUAUGAGGAGCAGUGUAGUGAUAUUACACAGCAGAGAACUGGAACACCGAGUGCAAGGCCUGAUCAACCGAACCACUCGACGUUUGCUAAAAAGAGCAGAUGACACCGCCAUGGGUAGAACUAAACAACAACUAGAUGAAACAUUUGAUGUUUACAGAGCCACAAUGAUAACGGUAUUUAAAACAAAGUGGCUAACGGGAUAAUGAUGACCCACAGGGUCGUUAUAACAACAGCUAAAAAAUGUGUUACACGCUAAUUCAAAAGACGCUAUAAGAAAUUGGUUCUUCAAAUAUUGCAUACAUUUUGCAACAGGCAUGCUAGAAGAAUAUGUUAAACAUGCCAUACAUGGGGAAAGAAAAUGACAAAGGAAAAAUCUUAGGCUUAAAAAUGAAGAUACCUUCAUAAAUGAAGAAGGUCAAAUAUACUUUCAAAGUAACGCACUAAACAGGAGGAUUUGGAAGAGGACAAUUUAGACAAAAUGUGUCAGGCUGUUGGUGUUGUGGAAAAGAAGGGCAUAUUGGACGCAAUUGUUAAAAAAUAAAUAAAUAAAUAAAAUUAAAAGUAAAUAAACACCAAGAAAUCAUACACUGUGUGACUAGGCCAGCCUGCUCCCACAGCAGAAGAAAGGGACACUUCUGAGUCAAUGAACAAAAACAAAAACAAUUUAUAAGAGUUGUAAAUCCUGCUGUGGUAGUACUAGUAGUACCACAAACAGUAUGGAAAGGCAUGUCAGUUGCCCAUUUUGUUGGUACCAAAAUGUCCUGUCAAUCUGCUGUGGAGAGAUGGCUUGUCAGCCCUGGGACUAGCUUUAGUUCCAACUAGCGAUGGAAACAUCAUUGUUAAAAGGCAACAUGAAAUAAAAGACUCAUUUGCAGUAAAAGCGGAAGAAUUCCCUUCCUACUAUUAUUCAUUGGACAUACCAAACAAACCACCUCAGAGUGGGAACCAAUCGUCUACAGGAGGGACAAGCGUUACUGCAAAAUAUUGAGGACACAAUGACUAGCGACAACUUACACAUAACUCUGUACUACCGAGGUACUUUAGGCCAAAUCCAGAAUAUGAAAAACAAUUGGCGAGCAACACCAGGAGUUGUACUCAUUGAUUACAUCUAUUCAGAUGGAUCAACUACUGCGAUAGCAGGAACACCACAUGUGUCACUCUACAAGGCAAAAGGUGAAAAAUGGAAAGAUUUAACAGAAAUAGUACAAUUGGGACAACAAACCACUGACUGGGUGCAAACACCUGAAGGAGUCGACAGAAGUGAUAUUACAGGUUUACUAUUACAGGCGGUAAACAAUGCAGUGAUUCAAAGAGCACCAUGUGUACCUGAUCCACAUACGCUUUUAAAUUCGUUAAGGCCUGAUGCCACUUAUUUUACAGUAGUGGAUAUAAGCAAUGCUUUCUUUUCAGUACCAGUAGAUAAAGAAAGCCAAUUCUGGUUUGCUUUUACCUUUGGAGGAAAACGUUACACCUAUACAAGGUUACCCCGGGGGUAUUGUGAAAGCCCCACUAUUUAUUUACAAGCCAUGACUGCUAGCAUGGCCAAGUUCAGUACACUCAGGCAGCUGAAUUAGUUGCAUUAACGGAAGCCUGUAAAUGAAUGAAAGAUAAAACAGUAACUAUAUGCACCGAUAGCCAAUAUGCAUAUGCUACUGUGCACACAUUUGCCCAAUAUUGGAGAAGCAGGGGCACGGUAACAUUGACAGGCAAGCCAGAUACAGAUGCGCACCUGUUACAGGAGUUAUUAGAUGCUGUUUAAUUACCAUUAAAACUUGCAAUUUGUAAAUGUGCUGCACACACCAACGGGCACUAAUAAAACCACAAAAGGAAAUGCAUUUGCAGAUAACAUGACUAAAGUUACUGCUGGAAAUUAAAUGACCGUAUUGACAGCACCACAACACCACCUAGAUAAUGAGGUUCUCAAAGGCAUGCAAUAACAAAUUCGUAGUCUGAAAUUAAAAUUUGGAAAAGAAAAGGGGCUACACUUAAAAAUGCCAUCUAUGUUGACCAAAAUUUGAAGCAUAUUUUUCCAAAAAUGUAUAUAGAUGGGAGGCUAUUUUGAGCCAUGGUGUGUCACAUGUCUCAACAGGAGGGAUGGUUAGUCAGAUACAUCAAUAUUUUACCACCUAUGGCUUUAAUGCAUAUUCAAAAAAUGUUUGUAGAGCCUGUCUAACAUGCGCAAAGCACAAUCCGAAAGGCAAUUUUCGCCCGCGACGCGGUCGGUUUCCAACACCGCAAUAUCCUUUCCAGGUAAUACAUAUGGACUUCAUAGAGCUAAACAAAAGCGAAGGAAGGAAAUUUUGUUUGGUCAUCAUAGAUGCAUUUUCUAAAUGGAUAGAACUCUUUCCAACAAAGAAUCCUGAUGCCUUGACGGUGGUAAAAGCACUAUGUAAAGAUAUUAUACCACGAUAUGGUAUACCUGACACGCUUUAUAGUGAUAAUGGCUCUCAUUUUGUAAACCGGAUAAUACAAAAAAUAGGAACAAUGUUCCAUAUUAACUUAAAAAAUCAUUGUGCUUACCACCCUCAAAGCGCAGGACUAGUGGAACGAAUGAAUGGAACAAUAAAAAAUAGACUCAAAAAGUGUAUGGAGGAAACAGGGAGACCAAAGACACAAAGUCUUGAUCUCGUUAAAUUAUAUAUUAAUAUAACUGCUUCAAAUGGAUUAACACCAUUUGAAAUUUUAUUUGGAAGACCAUAUAGACUACCAUACUUCAAAAGUCAAUGGGAAGCUGAUGAUGACGCUAAUCUCGCUGACUAUACGCUUGUUGGAAAGGCAAAAUAAUAUAUGUCAACCUGCUGAGGAUUCUACUGUCUCCCAGCAGGAGAUUCAGUUAGUUCAACCAGGAGAUUGGGUCCUCAUCAAAAGCAUCAAAAAGAAGCACUGGCAUUUACCCAAGUGGGAAGGUCCCUACUAAGUAUCAUUGACAACACAAACAGCCCUAAAAGUAACUGAAAGAUCAACAUGGAUUAAUUUGAAACAUUGUAAAAAGGUCCUUUCAGCAGAGAAACCCCGACGGGAAAGGUGAGCAAAGGUCUGACAAUAAGGUGGGUGCAGACAUUUAGAGUCUGAAAAUACCUGACGGUCAGUGAAGAACGUACAAGACACCAAUCCUAGUAGAGGCGGAACUCCUAAGGUUCUCUGUGAAAUGACGGUAAUAAGAGCAAAGUAUUUUGUAAGUGAUAGAUAACUAUUAUGUUCAUAAUGGACAUAGGGCUGCUUGUAUGGGAUCAGACUAAUAACCUCAAAAAUGCAGACACAGUUGCCACUAAUGUAACAACACUAACAGAUAGGCCAAAGUGAAGCACAUCAAAGACAGUACAUGCACCAUGGAUUGUUAGUUGGGCGUAUAGAAAUUCUAUCCAUAUGACUAUUGGUCCGAACACAAGCACAGUGGUUAGGAGACAAGGAUCCUAUAUACAUUGAUGCCAUUGAUGUUCUCUGUGGCGUGCCUGAUGAAUAGAAAUUAGUAAAUUAGAUUGCGGCUGGAUGGGAAUCCAUAUUUCCAUGGAUUACCGUCAAUAAAAACGUAGACAGGAUUAACUACAUCCACUACAAUGUUCACAAUUUGGGAAAUUGGACACAAGUUGGAUUUGAAGCGGUCAAAGAACAACUUAAAGCCACGUCCCUGAUGGCUUACCAAAAUGGGAUUGCGGUGGACAUGUUGUUAACAAAGGAAGGAGGUGUGUGUGCAGUGUUUGGAGAACAAUGCUGUACCUUCAUUCCCAACAACACUGCUGCUGAUGGCAGCCUGACUCAGGCCAUUCAAGGCCUCCGCACCCUGAAUGGUAAGAUGAAGGAACACUCUGGAGUGGAAACCUCAUGGUGGGACAGUUGGCUUGAUAUGUUUGGCAAGUACAAAUCCUUGGUGUCAUCUCUAUUGAUGUCAAGUGCUGUUUUUGCAGCAAUCGUAACCUUGUGUGGAUGUUGUGUUAUUCCCUGUGUGGGGGGUCUAUUUAACAAAAUGAUAAAUGCAGCUAUUUCACCCAUGGAAACUAAAAUGGCACAAAUGUAUUUGUUAGUUGGAUCUGGAAGGGAACGAGAGAGAGAUGGAGACAGCUAUAGACA